rnacentral:rRNA from 1 species
AAUGAACGCUGGCGGCGUGGUUAAGACAUGCAAGUCGAACGGUUUUUGUUGUGUAGCAAUACAUAACAAAAGCAGUGGCGAACGGGUGCGUAACACGUGAACAAUCUACCUUCAAAUGGGGAAUAGCUCGCCGAAAGGCGAAUUAAUACCGCAUGUGGUUGCCUCUCGCAUGAGAAGCAUACCAAAGUCAGGGACCGCAAGGCCUGACGUUAGAAGAGGAGUUCGCGGCCAUCAGCUAGUUGGCGAGGUAACGGCUCACCAA